GACGAACGCUGGCGGCAGGCCUAACACAUGCCAGUCGAGCGGACCUUUCGGGGUCAGCGGCGGACGGGUGAGUAACGCGUGGGAAUAUGCCCUUCUCUACGGAAUAGUCCUGGGAAACUGGGGGUAAUACCGUAUACGCUCUUUGGGGGAAAGAUUUAUCGGGGAAGGAUUAGCCCGCGUUGGAUUAGGUAGUUGGUGGGGUAAUGGCCUACCAAGCCGACGAUCCAUAGCUGGUUUGAGAGGAUGAUCAGCCACACUGGGACUGAGACACGGCCCAGACUCCUACGGGAGGCAGCAGUGGGGAAUCUUAGACAAUGGGGGCAACCCUGAUCUAGCCAUGCCGCGUGAGUGAUGAAGGCCUUAGGGUUGUAAAGCUCUUUCAGCUGGGAAGAUAAUGACGGUACCAGCAGAAGAAGCCCCGGCUAACUCCGU
rnacentral:rRNA from 1 species